AAGAAGCAGUGGCAGGCACACCACUACUGCUAGUGUGUACUAGUAUGGAAGUACUUGUGCAGUAACAGAGGAUAAUAUUUAAGUCGUGAGAUCAUUUAUUGAAGUCGCAGUGUAUUUUCAGGUUACUUAAACGUUGGUAUGUUGCAUUGAUGAUCAUCUGCGGUAUGUCCACGUUGGCCUGCUGGUCAGUGAAGGCCACAGGUGGGCCGCUCGUGACCCGCAGUACUCUGCCUCUGAUUGGCUGUAAUCCCAGAAGCAGAGAAUGGCGGGUCAAGCCGUAGUCGUCUUCCUGUGGAGGAAAAAGUAUCGCGGUCCGAUAAAUGGAGUUUGGAACCUGAAGUAGAAGGACGCUGAGCAGCAGGCUGAGGACGCCUUCACGAUCUCUUCAUUUUCAACAGCUACUAAUGGGCCAUGUUGGAGAUUAAUGCUUACAUACAAAAUACGAAACGUCUGCUUCUGCUUCGGCCUGAUUUCUGUGGAUUAGACUUUUCGUGGUGAAGAAUCACUUCAGUUCUUAAGAGAACCUGGUCUGGAUUUUGUGGUUAACAUCAAAGGAAAAAAUGGCACAAAGAGGAAUUUCAGCAGCAUCUGAGGAUGGAUGACAUCCAAGCUUCAGAGAGCAUGCUGGGAGGUUUUCACAAGCUAAACGGCAUGAAGAGCAGAAACUAUCCACAAUGCUACUGUACCUCUCCAGCCAGAGGCGUGGCAGAACAGUAAGUUGCUGUAAAAACCUAAGGAGGGAGGUAAGGUGCAGAGUGCAUCGCCUGAAGAACUGCAGGAUCUGUCGCGGUCAAAAAUAAUUCCCUUUGACAGGACACUGAGACAUGUUUUACUGCAUGCUUUAUGUUUAUUAUUUUUAUUCCAUUAACAUAAAUGUCAGUCACAUGUUUAAUGGAAUUAAAUUCUCUGAGGAGGGUAGAAGACUUGCACUAUCUCUGGGCACUGACACCAUCUUGUGGAGAUUUCUUUAACAGCAAAGCCCAUUGACCGUUCCUUCAAUUUUAACACCUCCAGAGAAAACUGUACAAUGUAUUCUGAAGAUUUAUACA